GGCUUCGUGGUGUAGUGGUUAUCACAUCGGUUUCACACACCGAAGGUCUCCAGUUCGAACCUGGGCGGAGUCA